GAUGAAGAACGCAGCGAAAUGCGAUACGUAAUGUGAAUUGCAGAAUUCAGUGAAUCAUCGAGUCUUUGAACGCACAUUGCGCCCCCUGGUAUUCCGGGGGGCAUGCCUGUCCGAGCGUCAUUGCUGCCCUCAAGCACGGCUUGUGUGUUGGGCCUCCGUCCUCCUCCCGGGGGACGGGCCCGAAAGGCAGCGGCGGCACCGCGUCCGGUCCUCGAGCGUAUGGGGCUUCGUCACCCGCUCUUGUAGGCCCGGCCGGCGCUUGCCGACACAUCAAUCUUUUUUCCAGGUUGACCUCGGAUCAGGUAGGGAUACCCGCUGAACUUAAGCAUAUCAAUAGCGGAGG
rnacentral:misc_RNA from 1 species